rnacentral:rRNA from 1 species
AGCCCCGUACACAAAAAUGCACAUGCUGUGAGCUCGAUGAGUAGGGCGGGACACGUGGUAUCCUGUCUGAAUGUGGGGGGACCAUCCUCCAAGGCUAAAUACUCCUGACUGACCGAUAGUGAACCAGUACCGUGAGGGAAAGGCGAAAAGAACCCCGGCGAGGGGAGUGAAAAAGAACCUGAAACCGUGUACGUACAAGCAGUGGGAGCACGCUUAGGCGUGUGACUGCGUACCUUUUGUAUAAUGGGUCAGCGACUUAUAUUCUGUAGCAAGGUUAACCGAAUAGGGGAGCCGAAGGGAAACCGAGUCUUAACUGGGCGUUAAGUUGCAGGGUAUAGACCCGAAACCCGGUGAUCUAGCCAUGGGCAGGUUGAAGGUUGGGUAACACUAACUGGAGGACCGAACCGACUAAUGUUGAAAAAUUAGCGGAUGACUUGUGGCUGGGGGUGAAAGGCCAAUCAAACCGGGAGAUAGCUGGUUCUCCCCGAAAGCUAUUUAGGUAGCGCCUCGUGAAUUCAUCUCCGGGGGUAGAGCACUGUUUCGGCAAGGGGGUCAUCCCGACUUACCAACCCGAUGCAAACUGCGAAUACCGGAGAAUGUUAUCACGGGAGACACACGGCGGGUGCUAACGUCCGUCGUGAAGAGGGAAACAACCCAGACCGCCAGCUAAGGUCCCAAAGUCAUGGUUAAGUGGGAAACGAUGUGGGAAGGCCCAGACAGCCAGGAUGUUGGCUUAGAAGCAGCCAUCAUUUAAAGAAAGCGUAAUAGCUCACUGGUCGAGUCGGCCUGCGCGGAAGAUGUAACGGGGCUAAACCAUGCACCGAAGCUGCGGCAGCGACGCUGAUGCGUUGUUGGGUAGGGGAGCGUUCUGUAAGCCUGUGAAGGUGUGCUGUGAGGCAUGCUGGAGGUAUCAGAAGUGCGAAUGCUGACAUAAGUAACGAUAAAGCGGGUGAAAAGCCCGCUCGCCGGAAGACCAAGGGUUCCUGUCCAACGUUAAUCGGGGCAGGGUGAGUCGACCCCUAAGGCGAGGCCGAAAGGCGUAGUCGAUGGGAAACAGGUUAAUAUUCCUGUACUUGGUGUUACUGCGAAGGGGGGACGGAGAAGGCUAUGUUGGCCGGGCGACGGUUGUCCCGGUUUAAGCGUGUAGGCUGGUUUUCCAGGCAAAUCCGGAAAAUCAAGGCUGAGGCGUGAUGACGAGGCACUACGGUGCUGAAGCAACAAAUGCCCUGCUUCCAGGAAAAGCCUCUAAGCAUCAGGUAACAUCAAAUCGUACCCCAAACCGACACAGGUGGUCAGGUAGAGAAUACCAAGGCGCUUGAGAGAACUCGGGUGAAGGAACUAGGCAAAAUGGUGCCGUAACUUCGGGAGAAGGCACGCUGAUAUGUAGGUGAAGUCCCUCGCGGAUGGAGCUGAAAUCAGUCGAAGAUACCAGCUGGCUGCAACUGUUUAUUAAAAACACAGCACUGUGCAAACACGAAAGUGGACGUAUACGGUGUGACGCCUGCCCGGUGCCGGAAGGUUAAUUGAUGGGGUCAGCGCAAGCGAAGCUCUUGAUCGAAGCCCCGGUAAACGGCGGCCGUAACUAUAACGGUCCUAAGGUAGCGAAAUUCCUUGUCGGGUAAGUUCCGACCUGCACGAAUGGCGUAAUGAUGGCCAGGCUGUCUCCACCCGAGACUCAGUGAAAUUGAACUCGCUGUGAAGAUGCAGUGUACCCGCGGCAAGACGGAAAGACCCCGUGAACCUUUACUAUAGCUUGACACUGAACAUUGAGCCUUGAUG